AGAGUUUGAUCAUGGCUCAGAACGUACGCUGGCGGCACGCCUAAUACAUGCAAGUCGAACGAAGUAGCAAUACUUAGUGGCAGACGGGUGAGUAACAUGUAGGUAUCUUCCCAUUGGUGAGGAAUAACACGAGGAAACUUGUGCUAAUACCUCAUAAGUCUUUACGGAGAAAGCUUUAUGCGCCGAUGGAUGAGCCUGCACUUGAUUAGUUUGUUGGUAGGGUAAUGGCCUACCAAGACAAUGAUCAAUAGCUGAUUUGAGAGGACGAUCAGCCACAUUGGGACUGAGACACGGCCCAAACUCCUACGGGAGGCAGCAGUAGGGAAUCUUGCACAAUGGGGGAAACCCUGAUGCAGCGAUGCCGCGUGAGUGAAGAAGGCCUUUGGGUUGUAAAGCUCUUUCGUCGGGGAAGAAAAUGACUGUACCCGAAUAAGAAGGUCCGGCUAACUUCGUGCCAGCAGCCGCGGUAAUACGAAGGGACCUAGCGUAGUUCGGAAUUACUGGGCUUAAAGAGUUCGUAGGUGGUUAAAAAAGUUGGUGGUGAAAUCCCAGAGCUUAACUCUGGAACUGCCAUCAAAACUUUUUAGCUAGAGUAUGAUAGAGGAAAGCAGAAUUUCUAGUGUAGAGGUGAAAUUCGUAGAUAUUAGAAAGAAUACCAAUUGCGAAGGCAGCUUUCUGGAUCAUUACUGACACUGAGGAACGAAAGCAUGGGUAGCGAAGAGGAUUAGAUACCCUCGUAGUCCAUGCCGUAAACGAUGUGUGUUAGACGUUGGAAAUUUAUUUUCUGUGUCGCAGCGAAAGCAAUAAACACACCGCCUGGGGAGUACGACCGCAAGGUUAAAACUCAAAUGAAUUGACGGGGACCCGCACAAGUAGUGGAGCAUGUGGUUUAAUUCGAAGAUACGCGCAGAACCUUACCAACACUUGACAUGUUCGUCGCGACUUUAAGAGAUUAAAGUUUUCGGUUCGGCCGGACGAAACACAGGUGCUGCAUGGCUGUCGUCAGCUCGUGUCGUGAGAUGUUGGGUUAAGUCCCGCAACGAGCGCAACCCUCACUUUUAGUUGCCAUCAUUAAGUUGGGCACUCUGAAAGAACUGCCAGUGAUAAGCUGGAGGAAGGUGGGGAUGACGUCAAGUCCUCAUGGCCCUUACGUGUUGGGCUACACACGUGCUACAAUGGCAUUUACAAUAGGAAGCAAGACGGCGACGUUUAGCAAAUCCUAAAAAAGUGCCUCAGUUCGGAUUGUACUCUGCAACUCGAGUACAUGAAGCUGGAAUUACUAGUAAUCGCGGAUCAGCGCGCCGCGGUGAAUACGUUCCC
rnacentral:rRNA from 2 species